rnacentral:rRNA from 1 species
CUAGGUGAACUUAGAAGAGCCAUCAAUUUAUCCAGAAUUGACCUUAAAAGUGGCUACUAUAAAAUUCGCAUGCAAGAGGGUGAUGAAUGGAAAACAGCUUUCAAAACAAAAAUUGGCUUGUAUGAAUGGUUAGUCAUGCCAAUGGGCUUAUCUGAAACACCUAGCACUUUUAUGCAUGUGAUGCAUUAUGUUCUUCGCAAAUAUAUUGGUAUAUGUGUUGUGGUAUACUUUGAUGAUAUACUUGUGUUCAGCGAAUCUCUUGAAGAUCAUGCCGUAAAUCUUAGGGACGUAUUGCAAGUUCUUAGAAAUGAGCGACUUUAUGCUAACACAGAAAAAUGCACUUUGGUGUUGACAAGCUUGUUUUGUUGGGAUUUUUUGUUUCCUGUAUGGGUGUUCAAGUUGAUGAGUCUAAAAUUGAAGCUAUUAAAAUUUGGCCACGACCAACCAAUUUGCAACAAGUGCAUAGUUUCCUUGGCCCAGCCGGUUUGUAUCACCGGUUUGUUAAGGACUUUAGCACUAUUGCAUCAC